UUAAAUUGAAGAGUUUGAUCAUGGCUCAGAUUGAACGCUGGCGGCAGGCCUAACACAUGCAAGUCGAACGGUAACAGGAAACAGCUUGCUGUUUCGCUGACGAGUGGCGGACGGGUGAGUAAUGUCUGGGAAACUGCCUGAUGGAGGGGGAUAACUACUGGAAACGGUAGCUAAUAC
rnacentral:rRNA from 2 species